AACGAACGCUGGCGGCAUGCCUAACACAUGCAAGUCGAACGAAGCCUUCGGGCUUAGUGGCGCACGGGUGCGUAACGCGUGGGAAUCUGCCCUUUGGUUCGGAAUAACAGUUGGAAACGACUGCUAAUACCGGAUGAUGACGAAAGUCCAAAGAUUUAUCGCCAGAGGAUGAGCCCGCGUAGGAUUAGCUAGUUGGGGUGGUAAAGGCGCACCAAGGCGACGAUCCUUAGCUGGUCUGAGAGGAUGAUCAGCCACACUGGGACUGAGACACGGCCCAGACUCCUACGGGAGGCAGCAGUGGGAAAUAUUGGACAAUGGGCGAAAGCCUGAUCCAGCAAUGCCGCGUGAGUGAUGAAGGCCCUAGGGUUGUAAAGCUCUUUUACCCGGGAUGAUAAUGACAGUACCGGGAGAAUAAGCCCCGGCUAACUCCGUGCCAGCCGCCGCCGUAA
rnacentral:rRNA from 1 species